rnacentral:rRNA from 1 species
UGGGGAAUAUUGCACAAUGGGCGCAAGCCUGAUGCAGCCAUGCCGCGUGUGUGAAGAAGGCCUUCGGGUUGUAAAGCACUUUCAGCGAGGAGGAAGGUGGUGGACUUAAUACGUUCAUCAAUUGACGUUACUCGCAGAAGAAGCACCGGCUAACUCCGUGCCAGCAGCCGCGGUAAUACGGAGGGUGCAAGCGUUAAUCGGAAUUACUGGGCGUAAAGCGCACGCAGGCGGUUUGUUAAGUCAGAUGUGAAAUCCCCGGGCUCAACCUGGGAACUGCAUUUGAAACUGGCAAGCUAGAGUCUCGUAGAGGGGGGUAGAAUUCCAGGUGUAGCGGUGAAAUGCGUAGAGAUCUGGAGGAAUACCGGUGGCGAAGGCGGCCCCCUGGACGAAGACUGACGCUCAGGCUGCGAAAGCGUGGGGCAGCAAACAGGAUUAGAUACCCUGGUAGUCCA